rnacentral:rRNA from 1 species
GUUGUCCUACGGGAGGCAGCAGUGAGGAAUAUUGGUCAAUGGUCGGGAGACUGAACCAGCCAAGCCGCGUGAGGGAGGAAGGUACAGAGUAUCGUAAACCUCUUUUGUCAGGGAACAAAGACUGGGACGCGUCCCCGGAUGAGUGUACCUGAAGAAAAAGCAUCGGCUAACUCCGUGCCAGCAGCCGCGGUAAUACGGAGGAUGCGAGCGUUAUCCGGAUUUAUUGGGUUUAAAGGGUGCGCAGGCGGUCUGUUAAGUCAGCGGUCAAAGCCCGGGGCUCAACCCCGGCCCGCCGUUGAAACUGG